rnacentral:sRNA from 1 species
UUUAAUAUAAGAUUAACCGUAGACAGUAGGUGGACCUAGUCCUUAAUUUCCUACCUAGGUCAGAUGAUAGUAUUUAACUAGUCUCUCCUUUGUUUGCGGUGAGACUAUUUUUU